rnacentral:rRNA from 1 species
GACGAACGCUGGCGGCGUGCUUAACACAUGCCAGUCGAACGGAAAGGCCCUGCUUUUGUGGGGUGCUCGAGUGGCGAACGGGUGAGUAACACGUGAGUAACCUGCCCUUGACUUUGGGAUAACUUCAGGAAACUGGGGCUAAUACCGGAUAGGAGCUCCUGCUGCAUGGUGGGGGUUGGAAAGUUUCGGCGGUUGGGGAUGGACUCGCGGCUUAUCAGCUUGUUGGUGGGGUAGUGGCUUACCAAGGCUUUGACGGGUAGCCGGCCUGAGAGGGUGACCGGCCACAUUGGGACUGAGAUACGGCCCAGACUCCUACGGGAGGCAGCAGUGGGGAAUAUUGCACAAUGGGCGGAAGCCUGAUGCAGCAACGCCGCGUGCGGGAUGACGGCCUUCGGGUUGUAAACCGCUUUCGCCUGUGACGAAGCGUGAGUGACGGUAAUUGGUAAAGAAGCACCGGCUAACUACGUG